rnacentral:misc_RNA from 1 species
GUGUUCAUGUCUGCUUUAUUUUUGUUGAUAAAAAAAAUUGUUGCUCUUGAUAAAUACCCAGUACUAGGAAAUGUGCAGCUAGUCUCAUUCUCAUAACAGAUGUGUAAUGAAUAAGUGAUAGGAGUAAAGUGGUCUGCAAUUUCACAUUUAACUAUGGCUACAGAUUAUCAAUAUUAUGUGACUCAUUUUAAUAACUAUUUCAACAUGGAGGCUGAUGAGGGGGAAUCAUCAAGCAGCGGUCCCAUCUCCACCUUAAACAGUUUAUUUUCGUUCACAAGUCCAGCAGUUAAGAAACUUCUUGGUUGGAAACAGGGUGACGAAGAGGAAAAAUGGGCAGAAAAGGCAGUAGAUACUCUUGUUAAAAAGCUAAAAAAGAGCAAGGGGGCUAUUGAAGAACUUGAAAGAGCUCUAUCUUGUCCAGGAACACCCAGUAAAUGUGUUACUAUUCCUAGAAGUUUGGAUGGUAGAUUACAAGUAUCUCACAGGAAGGGCUUACCACAUGUCAUCUAUUGUAGAGUAUGGAGGUGGCCUGAUUUACAAAGCCAUCAUGAAUUAAAACCUUUGGAACAUUGUCAGUAUCCGUUUUCAGCUAAACACAAGGAGGUCUGCAUUAAUCCUUACCAUUACAAGAGAGUCGAGAGUCCAGUAUUACCUCCAGUUCUUGUGCCAAGACACAAUGAUUUUGUGCCAGGACAUUCUUUACUUCCAUUUCAACAAUUGGUAGAGCCCAAUAUGCCUCACAAUGUGAGAUAUUCAUCAAACGGAUUUAAUUCUAAUCAUUUAAAUCCAGGCUCUCCAUUGUCGAGUGUAUCUAGCCCAGGAAGUGUAGCUUCAAAUAACCCUCAGUCUCCAUACGCAAGUCUGGCUGAAACUCCUCCACCAGCUUACAGUCCAACUGAUGAAAAUAACACAAAUACUAACAAUAAUGUAAGUCCCGAACCUCCCUUGACAGCAGAUGUUCAGUCUGUAGCGUACCAAGAACAACCCUAUUGGGCUUCAAUAGCAUACUACGAACUCAACUGUAGAGUCGGAGAAGUGUUUCGAUGCCAUUCAACAUCAGUGAUCGUAGAUGGUUUUACUAACCCUAGCAACAAUAGUGACCGAUUUUGUUUAGGUCAGCUUAGCAAUGUAAACAGAAAUUCAACCAUAGAAAACACCAGAAGACAUAUAGGUCGAGGAGUGCAUCUUUAUUACGUUAAUGGUGAGGUCUAUGCUGAAUGUCUCUCUGAUUCUGCUAUCUUCGUUCAAUCCCGCAAUUGUAACCACCACCAUGGUUUUCAUCCUUCUACAGUCUGCAAAAUACCAGCCGGAUGUUCGCUGAGAAUAUUCAACAAUGCUGAGUUUGCCCAAUUGCUCUCCCAGUGUGUCAAUCAUGGUUUUGAAGCAGUUUAUGAACUUACAAAAAUGUGUACAAUUAGGAUGAGUUUUGUCAAAGGAUGGGGAGCGGAGUACCACAGGCAGGAUGUCACUAGUACCCCUUGUUGGAUAGAAGUACACCUUAGUGGACCAUUGCAGUGGCUGGACAAAGUGCUCACACAAAUGGGUGCUCCACACAAUGCCAUAAGUUCUGUUUCUUAAGAGAGUGAAAUUCAACACCUUCCCAACAAGAAAACAGUACCUAAUAUAAGGAAACACAUAAGAAGAGAACUAUUAACAAAAAACUUCCUGUAUAUUAGUAUUAUUCAAAAAUGUUUAUAAAAAACGUUCAUUGAAAAUUGUAUUACCUGAAUAUAGGAAAACUUUUUUAUAUAUUUCUCGUGAGUAGUUAUUUGCUUAGUCAAUUGCAUUCAUAUAAAUAGAAAUACAUAUGUGCAUAUAUUUAACCUAUUUAAAAUUUCGAAAAGAAGGAAGUGGUCAAGGAAAUAAUAUUUCUUAACCUUGUAUGUUUUUCCCAGAAAUGUGGGGAUUCCAAAUUGGAAAUCGAAAUUUCAAAAUAAUAAAUAAAUAGUAAAUUAAUUUGUGGCUUAUUCCCAAUUUAAAUGCGAUGUCACAAGUAAUAAAAAAUGAAUGUUUUUUCUGUAUAAGUAUACAGUUCAUUCUUUAUUUUUCGUUUAUCCAAUUGGAAUUACUUUAAUUUUCAAUAAGUGAUUUAAAAAUUCAAACUCAAAGUCAAAAUUUUUAAUCAAUAAUAAAAAUCAACGAGAAAUAUGUUAUAAAAAAAUUUCUAUAUCUUGAUAUAAUUUUAUGAGAAAAAGACUUAAUAUCCUACUAGUUUUAAAUGUUAAUUUAAAUCUUGCUAAUUUCCCCAAAAACUAUUUUAUAUAAUGUUUUCCUAACAUGUCUACUUAACUAAAGAUUUAAUCCUAUUUAUUUUGUAAUUAUAGGCCAUUGAAAACAUUAAUCAAUCUUGUAGAUGUUUUAAUCCCACAUCCUAUGCAAAACACCAGAAACAGGUUUUCCAGGUGAUUUAAGAUGGGAAAAUGACCUUGUUGAUAUUCAUAACUGUAGCAAGGCAGUUCUUUGAGUCUUUUUCCUUUUAGUCCAUGCUGUGAGACUGCUCUCGUAUGAAAAAUUUUCUGAUCCGGUUUCUUUGCGGAUUCCUGUUCAAAAAUGCCCCCUUUAAACAAAUCAGAAGGGUAUCGGCCGAAAUUUUUGGGAAGAAAUUGUUAAAACAAUUUUUUUUUUAAAUAAAUUCAGAAGAUCGCCUUUUUUCCUCCGAAAAAUAUUUUUUUUUGUUUUUUUUUUGUGUCAUUAUAAACAAAAAAGGUCUUUUGUAAUUUUUCUUAAAAGUUGAUAUAUUUUAAGUUAUAAGUGAUUUAAAAUCUGAAAAAUGCGAAAUUACGCAUUUUUGGGGCUUGACACUUGGUAGUCAACGUUGGCCUAAGAUGGUUGAUUAAGUUUCCUGGUAGAGUUUCACCAUGUUCCCGGAGGUUAUAUCUUUUAACAUCGGCGUUUAGCCUGUUCAAUAUCACGACAACAUAAUGUAGAUUGAAUUAUAAUUUCAACCAUUGUUUGGUUCGGGGGCUAUUAAGCAAUUAUUCGAAUUCACUGAUGAUGGACUGAUAGGUCCAAAAACGUUUUGAAUUGGACACAUUUUUUCAAUCCAUUGGGAUUUUUAAAAUUUUUAAUAAAUAUACCAAUUACAUAGAAGUGGUUUUUACUUCAUGUUAUGAGUUUCUUAACUACAUAUAUGGUAUACAGCCAACCUCGGGAAAUACCCUUUUUAGUUUAUAACUUAUUACGUGCGUACAAAAUACACGCGCACUUUUUUUAUUUUUGAGGUUGCCAAGUGCCUAAAUGGAAGUUCAAACAUUCAGUUUCAAGAUUCUGACGAGUAAUCGAGACGCAUUUCAAUUUAAACCGUUGUUUUUUAGUUGUUAAUUAUGCGCGUUCACUUGAUUUUUCAACCGCCGUGCGUCGCGCUACAUAUAUGGUGCGUCUCUGUCGCACUAUAUGAUUGGCGUAUUUAAUUAGCACAUUGGCAAUAUUAAAUUGAAUAAAUAAAUAAAUUAUUAUAAAAAUGUUGUGUUAUAUAUUAUAAAAUUUUAAUAAAAGUCAAGUAUUUGUUGGAAAUUUUUCGCAUAAGUACGUCCAAGAUGUGCGAUAGAGAUCCACCAUGCAGCGGUGAGUGGAUUAAAAGUCAAGUCGACGCACAUAAUUAACAAUUAAUCAACAAUGGUCUAAAUUGAAAUAAUCCCUGAUUAUUCAUCAGAAUCUUAAAUUGAAUGUUUAGUCUUCAAUUUAGGCACUUGGCAACCUCAAAAAUAAUAAUUUACAUAAGAGUUUUCAAGCGUCGAAAAUGUGCGUUUUUCAUAUUUUAAAUCACUUUGGUAUAUGUAACUCGAAAACUAUCAAAUUUUGAGAAGAAUGACAAGAGACCUUUUUUAUUUAAAAUGGUCCAGAAAACUUGAAAAAAUAUUUUGCGAGGUAAAUAGGUGAUUUUUUGAUUUGUUAAAAAAAAUGUAAAUAAUUUCUGCCCAAAAAUUUCUCCCGGCACCCGUCCGAUUUGUUUAAAGGGGAACAUUUUUCAAGAUGAAUCCGCAAAGAAACCGAAUCAGAAUGUUUUUCAUACGAAAGCGGCAUCACAACAUUGACUACAAGGCAGUUCGUUGAGUCUUUUUCCUUUCUUUCUUCUUUCCCAGAUAUACCAGUGUACAGGAAGUGCUAUUAUUUAAAAAUGUUAAUAAUGAGUAAUUAGUUUAUUCUACUUUACUGUGGUGAUCUCCGUAAUUUUAGUAGGUAAGUACUGUGUGUACUACUCAGUACAUAAUCACAAGGCUACUGUAUAUUUGUUCGUUUUUUUUCUGAUAAUGACUGUUUUAAAAGGGGUCUUGAUUACGAAAAUUUAUAACCUACUAUUUUGUAAUCUGUUAGGCGAUGGAAGAGUAACUUGGAUAUAGCCCGGCCAAUGAACACAAAAUUACAAAAAAAAUCAAUGAUGAAAAUUGGAAAAUACAUAGUUGAAUGUGUUUAUUAUUAAAAAAAGGUUUACAAUUCUAGAGUACCUCAAUUUUGUAAAAAUGGUUAAUUUUUCAUAUAUUGGGAUGUAUUUCGUAAAAUAAUGAAAAAAUAUAUAGCGACACGCUUCAUUUAUUAUUUUUUUUGCUAAUUUUAAAUAUUAACUUUUCUCAAAACGAAAGAAUACGUAUCAUGUUAAAUUCGCAUGUGUUUUUCGUUCCUAAAAUAAAAAACCAGAUUGUAUAAAAUUAAUGGCUUUUUCAGGGAAACACAAAUUGCCAGAUUGGCCACGCUCUUUAUGUCAACUUCUUAAAAACUACAGAAAGGUUCUCAGCUUUUAAAACGCCAGAUUUAGUAAUUUAUCGCCUUUUCUGGCCACAUGGUAGAACCGCAUACAUGAUGACAUAAUAGUGUUGUGGUCUCGGUCAGUAUCGACACAGCAGUCACACCCUCGCUAAAAUAACAAACCCUUACGAGAUAUAAACGAAGCACGCUUGUUUACCCAAAAUAAAUAAAUAUAUUAAUGUUCGUUGUUUUACACUUACUUUAAUUUCAUAAUUGUUUCCGUCAACACCACCACGGAACAAAUACGUAGAAAACAUUAUCUACCUACAUACUUCUUCAUGUAGGUGCUAUGUCAUUUCAGAACCUUGGUUGGCAUCAUAGCUAUCUUAAUUUUAUUCACUCCCACCCUAAAUAGAAUGCUUGUAUCAAUACCAUACCAAUCUCACAAGUUCUUCAACCAUGAAAUCUUUCUUCGUCCUAGACUGUAUUUGCCUGCUAUUUUCCGUUGCAUAAUAUUUUGUAGCAACCUAUAUUUGGAGCCCCUCAUUACAUGUCCGAAGUACUCCAUCUUUCUCUUCUUGGUGCUUCUUAUAAUCUCAGUAGUCUUGCUGAGACGGUCUAGUAUUCCAUAGGCGUAACCAGGGGGGGUUGGGGUUAUAUUUGGAUGUACUUUGAGCUCUAUACGCUUAUCACCAUUACUAUUCCAUACCCCCCAGAGACCGUCAAGUAGUUGUAACCCCCCCCUUAGGAUCAUCCUGGUUACACCACUGUAGUAUUCUGGAGUUUCGAGUUUUCUUCACCCGAGACACUUUUAAAAUUCUUCUAUAAAACCACAUUUCGAAAGCCUCGAGGCGAUUUAGAUCACAUUUAUUCGCCGUUUAAGACUCAACAACAUAAAGUAAGACCGAGAACACGUAGCAGCGAAGUAGGCGGAUCCGCAAUGCGAAUUUUAGGUCUCUGUUAGAUAAUACUUUGUCUAUAGAGAAAUUCACACCGAGAAUGCAGUACGGCUAAGAUAGGGCAAUAUAUUUCUAAUGGGGAAUAAACGCACAGGGUUGUCGGUCUUCACCAGUUGUCGAUUGCUCUCUCAAGAGCGUCGCACAGGAACUGUGGCAACACUGAAUGCGCAUUCAAGCGAAUGGCGUGACCCUGUGUUACAAUUUUAACUGAUAUCCAAGGUAAACGAUUUGAUCAACUUGCUCAAGUUUGGUACUAUGUAUUUACAUAUUGUAGACGGUUUCAUAUUCUGUUUUUUACUUAUUAUGAGUAUCUUGGUUUUCUGUAUGUUCAAAUCUAGACCUGCUUCCAUACAGCUCUCAACGACACUGUCCAGUAAUGUUUUCAGAUCUUCUUGAGCAGAAGCUUCUUCUUUUUUACGUGCCAUCUCCUUACGGGCAAUCAUCAUGUCCAUUCUGAUCUUAGAUGCUGCUGCUCUGAAUAGUUCGGUUGAUGUGCAUCCGUACCAUUCCCCAAAGUUACGCAACCAUGAGAUUCUUUUUCUUUCUACACUUCUCUUGCCAUGGAUUUUCCCCUGUAUAAUUAAUUGAAGUAUGUUGUAUCUCUCAUUACGCAUAACACCCCAGGUAUUGCAGUUUUCGUGUCUUGAUGGUUUCCAAUAUUUCUAGUUUUAUGUUGACUCUUCUCAUGACUUCGUUGUUUGUCACAUGCUCGGUCCAUGAUAUCUUCAGGAUUCUUCUAUACAGCCACAGUUCAAAUGCUUCCAAUUUUUUAGUAGUCGACGCGUUAAGUAUCCAUGCUUCUAUCCCGUAAAGCAGAGUCGAGAAAAUGUAACACCUUGCCAGCCUAACUCUCAAGUCUAAUUUCAGUUCUCUUGCACAAAGUACCUUUAUCAUUUUAUUGAAGUUUGUUGUUGCUUUCUCUAUUCGAACUUUGAUUUCUUUGUAGUAAUCGUUUGUGUGAUUAAUUAUUGUGCCAAGAUAGUUGUAGUUUGCAACUUGUUCUAAAGUUUUACCUUUAAGUCAGGCGUUUAUCAUUAUUUUGGGUUUUUGAUAUCUUCAUAAAUUUAGUUUUCUUGAUGUUUAUUGAUAAUCCAUAUUCUUCUCCAUACUCAACUAUCUUGUUCAUUAGCUUUUGGAGGUCUUGAAGGUUGUCUGCUAUUAUGACAGUAUCGUCCGCAUAUCUAAUGUUGUUAAUUGGCGUUCCAUUUACCUUUAUUCCUGCUGUUUCUCCCUCAAGAUCUCUUUUCAUAAUUUCUUCAGAGUAUGCAUUGAAUAGUAGUGACAAUACACACCCCUGUCGCACUCCUCUUUUAAUUUCGAACUCUUCUGAUGUGUGUUCGUUAAUGCGUAUGUGUGCCUGUUAUUUAUAAUAUAUAUUUGUUAAAAAAUUGGAAUAAAUCCUUUGUAAAAGGUAUAAAAUUUAUUAAAAUCCCUAAAAGGCUACAUCAGAACAAAACGUUUUCGAUUUUAUUACAAAAUCAUCAUCAGUGUAAGACAGUCUGGAUGCUAGCUGAGCCACCAAAGAAAUAUAGGGGUAAUAACCCUUCAAAUAUAAAAUGUAUGCUUUACAGUUGCCAUAAAGUCAUCGAAAUGUAAACUCAAAAUUUUUUUGCAUCCCACAUGUUGGGAAUUUAAAUACCUUACCUUAGGGCAUUAUUCCUGUUGCCUUUUGCCCAUCACAAGGCAUUUUAAGUAAAUAUGCAUCUGUAAAGCAUACAUUUUAUAUUUGAAGGGUUAUUACCCCUAUAUUUCUUUGGUGGCUCAGCUAGCAUCCAGACUGUCUUACACUGAUGAUGAUUUUGUAAUAAAAUCGAAAACGUUUUGUUCUGAUGUAGCCCUUUAGGGAUUUUAAUAAAUUUUAUACCUUUUACAAAGGAUUUAUUCCAAUUUUUGUGAUUGAUGGUAUACAGCCAACUACAGGAAAACUUUUCUUUCCUUGUGGAUUUUAUAUAUUUGUUAGAAAUGAGUAACUAUUUAUUUAUGAGAUAAAACUAUUAUCGACAUGAUUAAAGAUUUUUUUUGUAGCGUCAGUAGUUUCUGAGAUGUUUGCACCUUUUUUGCAGCUCCUACUUUGUUAUGCGCGCAUAAAGUGCGCGCGCAACCAGGUAGUAGUUAUGUUCUUUAAUAAUUAUAUAACGAUCAGUAGGUAGGAAAGUCAUCAGGGCCCGGAUUACGUACACUCGAUACGCAUCGUAUCCGCCAUGUUUUCCCAUAAGGCGCUACAGUAAAACAUGGCGGAUACGAUGCGUAUCGAGUGUACGUAAUCCAGCAGCAGGACGAUAAUUAUUAUCCGUAUGUGGACUACGGAUGACUUAAGUUGGUAAUAAUAAAAUAUGUCAGGGUAAAAGCAUGAACUAUGAAUGAGUAUGGAUUUUUUAAAUUGAUUGCAUCCCAUCUAAACAAAAAUAAAAACGAAAAAAUUACGUUUUUGGUGGCAGGCGUGGCAUAGAAGUAAAAAAGUAAAAAGAUUGAAUUCUGGGAUGGAGAGCAUUUUGCCUAUCUUAACGGGGCGGGGGCGGGGGUACCAUUGGCAUCCUUAAUUUAUUUUUUUGUCACGUGUUUUUUGAUCGGGCUAUUAAUGUUUGUGUAGGUAACGACCUAAAUCAGUUACUUAUUCAUCGAUCCUUCUCGCUUUGCGACUCAAACAUGGGUAUUAAAGGGUUUUACAAGAAAGGAACUCGCAAUAUUUAUCAUUCUUCUCUGCGAUUUAAAAUAUGUAUAGAGGUUUUAGUUUAUUUUUGAUAGUGUAAGCAUUUUACUCUGAUGUUUUGAAAACUUUAAGGCCUUGUUCACAUGAGAGUUAAAAAAGCGUUGCGUUUACAUUGAUGCUUUUACUGAUACUUGAAGCGUAGUAAUCAAUUCAAUUAGUAAAAUACUUACUACUAUCAAGACCUUUUACACAAUUUUUCUUUGAAUACUUGUUUUAAAUGUGAGACAUACGUGAAAGGAACAUUGUUAAAAAUUGUGACAAAAAAUCAGUAUUCUCUGAUGACUUUCAAGAGUCAAAAGAAUUAGCUGGAUAUUAUCGUUUAUCAAUCUUGUAAGUGCAAUAUUUGCUAUUCCUAUUUUUGUUCGAAAGUUACGUGCAAUGAUUCCGCAAUAGGGCGAAGCUAAUACUUUAUUUUUAUUGUUAAAUUUAUAAAUGUAGACUUUGAGGAACGAAAUAGAUUUACAAUGGAACGAAAAGUACGAUCUGUCGCCAAUGGCAUCAAUGUUAACCUUUUUUUUUUGCAAGAAGUUACUUUCGUCUCGUGAGCGCGCAUCGUCCGUGUAAGUGACUGCGCAGCUGCGUGAGAGCCGACAACAGAAUUUUGUACGACUUGUAUUUUUCAUUCCAUUGUUAAAUUCGCGCGAAAAUAAUAGGUUCACUACAAAAUCUACAAAUAGAGAUCGGUAUGGGACGAUUGCGCCGAUUUUAUCCAAGAAUACGAUUGAGUCAAUUUUAGUCGAUCUGAGAGCUGAGGGUAUGAUUGCGCUGAACUAACUCAGAUGAUCCCUUGUGCGACUAAGGCAUUAAUAGACGAAAUAUGUUAGGUAUAUGAUUAAAAACAGAACUAUAAUAUAAGAAUUUAUUUCAAAAAUAUACAUUGAAGACUUACGGACGUCUACUAAGUGUACUAAUUAUAAAACAUGUUUUACUAUCCUUUAAGAUAUACACAUUCGGAAAAAGUUUAUGGUCGGUAUUAUAAAAUUAGCAAGAUAUCUAACAAAGAUACUAAUAUUACGUGGACAAAUAUCACAAUCAUAUUUACCCCUAGUCCCCACUCCACAUUGUGCACGAUCGUUCAUCAGAGCAUUACACCGAACGAAAAGCCGAUUGUUUCCGAUCCAAUCGUACUCUUCAAACUAAUAUCUCUCUAUUUUUUAUUUUAUUUUCACUCCUAUUACUUCCAAAUAAUUGGUUUCAAAAAUAUUGUUUGGAAAGUACCAAAUAAUAUCUUAUUUUUAAAAACAACUUAAUGUUUCGCCAAUUUUAAUCUUAAUUCAGUAUUAAAUACGCUCCCGUGAAUGACAAGGUAAUACUGAAUUAACAUUUAAAAAUCACUUUUAAUAACAAAACUAUGGGACCAAUCCUCCGACAGCGAGCUUGAUGCACCAAUAGCCUGUGCACCUGUCUAGCAACAGUAUUAUUUUAUUGAUAUUCUUAAAUAAUAAGGCUAUAACAUACUAAAAAAAUCACUCAAAUCGGACAACAUGUUUAGGAAAUUCGAGAUAUCAAACGUGUAUAAUUCAUCGAGUGACCCGGUUUUUUUUGCUCGCAAGUGUAAUUCUCAAACUGCAAAACAUUAAUAAAUUGUAUUUAUUAAUUUUGAAAACGAUUUCCGAAGUAGAAAUCAAAACGUCAAAGUAAAAUUGUGGCUUAUAAGAAAUAAAAAUAUUAAGCUGCCAUUUUAAUCAAUUCACCCAAAGGACAUCGCACACAUCUUAUGAAAAAUAUAAUGUCACUCAAAUUCAAUAAAAUUUAUAUGAAUAUAUUCGUUUCAAUUUAACGAUCAAUUCUUAUCAUUGCGCCAACUCUUAAUUUUCAAUAAUAAGAGCAGAAAUUGAUAUAAAUCAAUCUGAAAUCAAAUGGGUAGGUACAUAAGUUAGAGAGAGAAAAAAUAUUUCAAAAUACCCAAAUUAUAGUUAGUUCAUAAAUCUUCUCGAGCUCUUAAGCAUCUUAUUAUAAUAGUUUCACUAAUCCGCUUAGGCCCAGCGGGGUUUAAGCUGUAUUGAAUAGCACCCAGAGCAAUAGUGGUUAUAACUGACACGUUUAUAGACCCCAAAAAUGUGAUUUCGAUAAACUUUAAUUGCAAUUUGCGCCGUAAUUAAUCAUAAUUAAGAGUUGGCGCAAUGAUAAGAAUUGACAGUUAAUUUAAAACGAAUCUAUUCGUAUAAAUUUUAUUGAAUUUGAGUGACAUUAUAUUUUCCAUAAGAUGUGUGCGAUGUCCUUUGAUCGUCUUUUUUGAGCGCAUUUUUCAAAUAGUAAAAAAGACGACCGUUCAAAUAAAAACAAUAAGUUUGGCAACAAUGUUGAACUUCAUCUUUUGAGUUGCUUCCACUAUUAAAUGUUCGACAAGCGGCGGGUGUAAUUUCCUCACCAAAAUAAUCUUUUGCCUGCGUUUAUAAGGGUAUGUCAUAAUCCCACAGGUAUUUUCCUCACCAAGACCAAAAUGGUUAUUUCGAGUUAUUUCAGGUAGCUUUUACUAAAAGGCAUUCAAUUGAAUUAUUUAUCUACUAUUAAAUUACAGUAGGUACCUAUAAUUAUAAUAAUUAAUUAAUUAGUUAUAGUAUUUUAUUUUCAGUCACAAUUGGAAUUUUGACAAAAAUGGCAUGUUUAAUAGAAAGUGAUCGCGGUAAACCUUAACGCGGUAUUAUUGGUAUUUGAAAAUUUUAUUUUUUAUAAAGUGAAAGUUUUAAAAAGUGAAGAAGUGUUCUGGAGGAUAAAACAACUUGUAGUGCGAAAUUUUUUACUAUUGGUGCAACUUUUACAAUAUCUAGAAGUAGCCGACAACAUAAUCAUGAACCAGAUUGUCAGAAGUUAGAUCGAAAAAUUGUUUCUCACUAUUGUAAACGUAAAGCAGAAGAGAAUUGAAAAACCAGCAAAAAUUAUACGCCAAGCACUUGCAGCUAAUUUGUCUGAAACAAUUACUACGAUUGUUGUCAAUUACAUAAGAAAAAAUAUAUAAUUAUCGACGAAAAAUGAUGCCUGAUCGACUUCCUUCCAAUAUUGAUGAGGUUCAAGAAUUUGUGACGGGGUGUGUUUAAAAAACAACCAAGAGGGAAAAUUUUCUCUUUAUAAACUGUGUCAAAAGUAGGAUAAUUGUAUUUAGUUGUGAAACAAAUAUAAGACUUUUAGCCACAUUGAAUUUUAUUUUAUGGAUGGCACAUUGCAAUUAUUCAUUAUUCAUGGGCUAAUUAAUGGGCAUUAUAUUUCUUUAUUAUACUGUUUACUGCCAAACAAAAAAACAGAAAUUUACAACAAUAUUUUUUAUUUGUUAAAAUCAGAAAUUUUUAAAGCUCUCAAAAUUGAGUUUAAUGUUAAUAAAAUUUUUGAAGAUUUUGAAAAGAAAUGCAAUCAUUGAAAUGUGUCCGAACACUAAAAUACAUGGUUGUAAAUUUCACCUACACUAAGCUUGGUCUCUUGAAAUAUCUUGGUCUCUUGAUUUAAUAUCAGAAUAUAAAAAUGAUUCUGAAAGAGGCAAGUGGCUCAAACAUACUUUUGGCCUUACAUAUAAAACCAGAAGACGUAUCAGAUUGUUUUGUGUUUGAUUUAAUGUCAUGCAAACCAGGAAAUGAAAUUUAAGAUAGACAUGUUGAUUAUUUAGUUGAAACUUAUAUAGACGAAAAUGCCAUAUUCUCCCCAUAUUUGUGGACAGAGGCAAAUUCUUCUGUUACGAAUGCUUGCGAAUCUUUUCAUUCGCAUUUUAAUUUAUCGUUUUGUAAUACGCAUCCAUCCAUAUAUAUUUUCUUUGGAAAAAUUAAAGAAUUUCAGGUAGUUACGUAUGUUAAAAUUUAAAGUUUGCAUAUUGCAAAACCUAUCAAAGAUAAACAAGUUAAACUGAAAUUGAAAAAUGUAGUAAAUUUGUUAAUAAGAUAUCAGUCUAAUCAAAUGACUAGAAUGGAUUUUGUAAAGUGUCUGUCUUAUUAUAGUAAAUAUUAAAUAAUAGUUUAUACGUCUUGCAUAUUAUCUAUAUUAUAAACUAUUAUUAUAAUGUAAGGAAAUUAAUGUCUUGUAUUCGGAUUUCGGAUGCUUUCAUAAUAGACAUUCUUAAAUUAAACCUAUAUUUUUAUUUUAUUACCUGAGUGAGUUGGUGAGGAAAAUACCUACCGGAUUAAUAGGAACCUUUAAAUUUGGUGAGGAAAAUACCUGUCGGAUUAUAUGUUUUUACUGGUUGGUGAGGAAUUUACCUCCGCCCUCGACAAGAUAUUUCGGGGAAAUAAUAUAGCUAUGCCGUUUUAAAUAUGUUUCUCUCAUAUUCUACCGUUUACAAGUGAACACCUGCGUUAAAUUCUUUCCGAUACUGUAUAGACCUAAUUACUUAGGUUAAAGCUGUAAGUACCUAAUAAUUAUCUGCUGCCAGCGCAAUCGUGCCCAUAGCUUAAAGUACUCUUUAUCGAGACCGGAUAUAGCAAGUACCAUCGGCCCAAUCGUCCCCUGCCCAUGCUAUAUAAAGAGUUUCAAAAUUUAGGAACUAUAUAAAUGUUGUAAAACUAUAUUGUAAGUUGUGUUUGAGUAAUCGUUUGGUAAACAAAGAGUUUAUGAGAAAACUAUUUUAAUGUAAGAUAUACAUAACUGUAAUUUCCUGAACAUCCCUCUUGAAAUAGAUGGUUGUCCCAGAGUAAUAUAAAUGUAUUAUUAAUUAUUCUGACAUGAAAUUAAAUCUUCCAAUAAAGUCGUCCCAGGCACGCAACUGAAAAAUAUUAAUAAUGUCAUUUUAAAGUCAUGUUCUUUAAAAUGUAUGAUAUAUUUUGUUAAUUUUCAAUAUGAAUGAGCUAUAUAAAAUUAAAUUAGAAGAAUUUUUUACCAAGAAACAAAAACGUUCAAUUUAUUAAUGUUUUGUAUUUUGUGAACGAUUUCCUAAGUGGAAAUCCAAACUUAUUUUAAGUAAAAUUGUGGCCUAUCCCAAUAAAAAUAGUAAAAUACAUUUAUGUUAUUCUGGGAUCCUAUAAAAUGUUGCUCAUGCCAACUAAAUAAUAUGUAUUAUGUAGUUUUUAUACUCCCAAGGUUUUCUCCCCUCAUCUUAAAUGUAAAACUAAUAGAUGUUGACAUAGAAUUUUGAAAAAUUUUACUCUUGUUAUAUGAAAGCAAUUCAAAUUGUGAAUCCGCAUGUGGUUACUUGUGCCUGCGUAUUUUACAAAAAUAAAAUUAAUGGAUUUAUUAACCACUUAAUGCAUUAUCCCGUGUCUAACACGUGUCUUUAACCCGGUUUGUCGGCAAAUUCGGUACUUGCCCGUGUCUCACAAGUGUCCGCGCCUCACAUGUACCCGUGCCUCACAUGUAUUCGUGCCUCACACGUACCUGUGCCUCACACGUACCCGUGCCUCACGUUUGAAUAAGUAAGUUGCGCCGUUGUACAGCGCUAUUCAAACGUUUUAUGGCCGUUUCUGACCAGUUCAUGACGAAUUUAUUGUUAUUUUUAACCGUAACUAAAUUUUAGUCUAUUUCCGUUUCUGUUAGGUAGUAGAUGGUUCUUGUGUUACAUUUGCAGUGUUUACGAAAUGAAGGAAACAAAUAAAAAGACAGAAAAAUCCAGUAAAAAAGCCCAAAAAUUAGUUAUUGACUACAAUGAUACAAUGGGUGGUGUUGAUAGGCUAGAUCAACACCUCCAUGACUAUACCACACUAUACCAUGGAUUCACGAUACAAAAUCGAUACUUUUUAAGUAUUGAAGUAUUGAGUAUUGUGUUGGUUAUGCCAAUGUAUCGUGUAUCGAUAACGGCAGUACUUUCUUAUAAAAAUAUCGUAUUGAUAUUGAUUUCGAUACGAUAAUAAUAUAAUACUCGAUAAAAUAUCGACAUAAAAAGGAUUAAAUUAAUUAAAAAAAGAUUCUUUAUUCAUUUAUCACUAUCUUUAAAAUAUAUAAGAGUUAAAAAAUCUCUUAAAAUAUACAAGAAAUAGGAUACAUUAUUAUAUUGUAACCUCACAAAAAAUAUUUUCCUUUAAAGAGCUCUUCAUCCAUCUGUUCACACAAAUGAGUUCUUUGAUACUUAUAUCUUUUAAAGAGCAUCUUUUAUUCGUUAGUACUAGCGCUGCUCCAGAAAAAAGCCGCUCGACUGGUACGGACAUAAAACGUGGAAAACACUACUACAUGUAUGAUUUCCACUAUAAUAAAAUAUCUGUGUCUGGUCCAGGUCUUGGAGAUUGCAAGUAGUUUUUAAUUUCCUUUUCAAAAACAUCGAUGUUAUCUGAUGAUUUUAAAAAUAAAAUAUCGAAUUUAUUGACUUUUGGGUUUAUCGUGCACUAAUCGAGAGCAUACGCGCUUGUGCGCCUUAUAACUCUUAUAAAAAUUUUUAAUUGUAUAAUAGCCUUUAUGCCGCACUCACGUGGCGUUUUAUUAUUUUUUUUUCUCGAUAUCGACAUUCUCAAUAAUAUCGAGAAGUUCUAUGCACGUACCACCCUGGAAAAAAAAAUGCUCCAUGUAGGUCUUGUGCUAUUUGCUGCAGUAGAAGAGAUGAAAAAGGAAACAAACCAAGGAAACGAGGUAGUACCGAGAAAUUGUAAUGCAGGACUAUGAUGUGCCUUGUUUUACGAUUUCCCACAUGAGAUUAAAUUUUUACAAUUAAACUUUUUUGAUUUUUUUUAUUUAGCUCUUACUCUAAUUCUACGCCCCUCAUAUGGUUUUGCUUUUAAUUAUACAUAAAUAUUAAAUGUUUUGAAGUAAAAAUACUAAAAAAAUAUAUUUAAAAUAUAUGUACUAAAUUAAAUUCAAAAUACUUAAAAAAAUAUAUUUUUUUAAUACUCCCCUGUCACGAAAAAUACACUUAUUACGCCCCUUAUUAUUAUGAAAAAAAAAUAUUAUUUUUUUACAGUAAACUCUAAAUGAAUGUGUGCAUUAAGUGGUUAAUACAUCUUCGUAUUGCUGAAUUCGAAAAAGUCUUCAUAUAAGAAAAAGUCCGCCACGCGAAUUGGUUUGAUAUGUCUUUUAUCAGCUGUAAACACGAGUUCAAGAUUAUCAUUUUUUGCGAUUAAUACCUAAACAUAAUAUAUUCGAUUGAUAUGUUUGUAUUAUUGACUAUACAGGGUGAUUAAAAAAAUAACGGCUUAAUAACAACUUUGGGUUGUAUAGAGGAAAUUAUUUAUUUUGGCGCUAAUCCGCUUAGAAACUUAACUAAUAUUGCAUUUAAACACUAAGCCAUCAGAUAUUAAGCAAAAAAUGUAGAAAGAAAUUACUGAAAUCCUUUAAAAAAGGUAUAUUUUAUUAAAUUCUAACAUAAGUAAAAACCACUUCUAUGUAAUAGGUAUACUUAUUAAAAAUUUUAAAAAUCCCAAUGGAUUGAGUAAAAUGUGUAAAAUUCAGAACGUUUUCGGACCUAUCAGUAUCAUCAGUGAAUCGGCUUUCCGAGGUUUCUUCAAUGAUGGUCAAUUGUUAAUGAUAAAAAUAAUACCUAUCUAAAAACUUUAUACAUUUUUAAACGCUAUUUUUCUGUAUUUAUAUUUAGUGCAAUUCCGUUAUCUGUGAUGGCAACAAUGAAGUGAUUCUCGAACCAUUGUGUCCAGUCUGAACACAGGUUUACAUUGGAAAACAAAAGUGUACCAGUUUUUUAUGACGGGAAGUGUACUUUACUGUGAAAAGCACUGAUGAUGGAAUCCUCAAUUAUUAUUCUGAAAACGUUCUGUAAUGUUGCUCUUUUUAGGGAUUUUAAUAAAAUAUACCUGUUAUAAAGGAUUUCAGCAAUUUUUUGUGAUUUUUGGUAUACAGCUAGCUACAGGAAUUAAAUUUCCUCGUGAAUUUUCAAAACGUGUAUGUUCAACUCUCUAUAAUAUGCAGAUAAAAAAAUGUCCGUUAUUUGUGAAUCACACUGUAGAUUGAUAUGUUUAUUUUAUUGACUAUGUAAUUGCUUUGUAUUUUGAUAAUAAAACGCUGAUAAACAAUUUUCGCAAAAAAUGCCUUUCGCUAAUUUCAGUGCCUCCAUGAGGAUUUCUAUGAAAAUAAACAUUUCGAUACGAAAAAUUAAGAUUAAAAUAAAAAAAUUUACGAAUAUUGCUCUCUAUUAUUUACAAUUAUUACAAUGCAAUAUACUACAGAGAAUUAAACUUGAGUUGUCUACAUGAAAUGCCAUUUUUCAUUUGUAUCAGAUAAUCAGAUUUCUUUUAUGUUAGUAGAUUUAAGUCUGUGCUGCUAAUAAAGUUGAUUGUGAAAAGUAUUGUGUUUGCUAGUUAUAUGUGUCGUGUGCGUCAUUUGUACCAAAGGUCCAAAGUUUUUCCAGUAUUUAUUUUAAUACAAAAUUUUACUUCAAUACAGAGAGUAUUCAAUACUGAAACAACUAGGUACUUCAAUACAGACAGUGAUAAACUUAAAAUCAUUUAAAAAUGUUAUUGUGACAUAAAAUUAAAUAAAAACUAGGUCGAGCUUUCCACUUCCUCAGUGGGGUCAUCUUCUAUCUUGGUUGGAUUUAGAAUCUCACACGCUUAAAUCUCAAGUUGACGGUAAUAUUGUUUGUCUAUUGUCUCUUGCAGAGGCUUUUAUACGGUAGAUGAACACAUAAGUCUUAUCAUCGGGUGCAGUCAUGUACACACAUCGGAAAGUCUAGGGAUAUUUUUCGAAAGAUAUGUAGUUUCUUCUUAAUUGUCGUUAAUAAAUAAUAAUCGAUUUUUAGUGAUUGAUAGUAUUUAAUAUACAACAAAAUUUGUUGAAAUGUUAAAAAUAACGAGAAUACCUUUAAGUACAAUUAAAAAAAAAAUCAUCACAAAAUAUGGUCGUAAUAAAAAAAGAAUGUGUGUACUUUGUGCGCACGUAAGAAGUAAGAAGUUAUACUUCUAUUAUAUGAUUUCAACGAAAUAAAUAUACUUUUAACAGGUUAUUUGUAUUUUAUUUAAAUAUUAAACUAAUUUUUACUUACUUUUACAAAAAAUUUUAUUAAAACAAUUCCAGAAAUAAAAAAAAAAUAGAAAACGCACGGAUUUGAACCCGGGACCUCUCGAUCUCCGGUCACACGCUCUACCACUGAGCUAUAUUCCCUUUGGUUUGACAGGUUACAAGAUUUCUCAUACAUACUGACAAAUUUAAUAAACCAAGUGAAGUAUACAAAAUUACUUUAAAAAUAUACUUACUUUUAUUAUAAAAUAUCUUAUUCCCGAGGAAGACAAAUCCAAAGACACAAAAAUUAUAAAAAAUGUACCUAUUUACUAAAAACACUAAUAAUAUAUUCUUUUCACGCACACCUUAUUUGCGCUACAUAAAGAUGUAGCGACUAUUAAUACCAUACUGUCGGUGUGCGCAUGCGCAAGGGAAUGUAAAAUUCACCCUCGUGCCUAAAGAACUUCAAAAACAAAAUUAAUAUAAAGUAUGGCGUCCACACUGGCUUAUUACGACUAUACAUCUAUCGUUCAUAGACAAAAUGAGAUUGUCGAUAUUAUGUUGAGGUACGUUUGCCCAUUCUUCUAUCAGACGCUCUCGGAAACGAAACGCAUGUAUAUGUUACCCAUAAUGUGGAGUAAGUCUUUGUGGAAGCAUGUCUCAUACGUGCUCGAUGGGAUUCAGAUCGGGGCAUUGUGCUGGCCAAGGCAAGACAGCAAUACCUUCGUUGGCAAGCCAGUCUGUCACUAGACAUGUGGACGAGCAUUAUCAUGCAUGAGAUAAAAGUUUAUAGAUCAACAGCACCGGCAAACGAUAGAUUGAAGAAUGGUGUCGAGGUACUGCUGAACUGUAAGGAAGCGGUCUGGAAAAAGGAAGUCGGUUUUGCCACCGAUUAAUAUUCCAUACUAUUGCUGUACCACCACUGGAUGUGUAAACUUCCUGGACAUGUGUUAAUCAUUCUACAUUUCCAGAUCCUCUCCACACUCUUGCUCGACGAGUAUCUGGACGAAAUCCAAAUCUAGAUUCGUUAGAGAAUAAAACUGGAGCCCAAUCAUUUGCAUCCCAGUUUUGAUAUUCUUGAUACCACUCUAAUUUUGCAGCGCGAUUACCUCUGGAAGUAAGUGGACAUCUCAACGGUCUUUGACUGUGGAGAUUGGCUUCAUGGAGACGAUUUCUUACAGUAUCACGGCCUUUGGUUACCUGGUGUGCCCGCUGCAAGUAGCUAACCAGUUCAGGUGCUGUAAUUAUUGGUUGUCUUCUAGAGGUUAACACUAAAAAUCGGUCUUGAGCUGCAGUUCUAUGGCGCUCACAUCCUUGAUGACGUUCAGCUGAACUUCCAGUGUCACAAAACUAUACUUUGGGAGACUCCCAUGCGGUCAGCUACAUCAGUUUGCCGCAUGCUACCUUGAAGAAGCCCUACAGCCCUUGAAGAAGCCCUACAGCCCUAUUCAUCUCAUCUAUCAUGACGCCGUUCCAUGAUAAAAAUUAAUAUUUUCAAUUCACUAACUAAACAAGAAUUAUUACAUAUAGCACGAAUAAAAUCGAAUCUACCAGAAUGUUCUGCAGUAUAAACUAUGGUUUUUCCUGUUAAAAACUUUGUCAAAUAUUCGUUAUCACUUUUGCCGUUUCGUUUUAUUCACAAAAAUCUACAGGAUGAACAAUUAUACAAAUUCAAUUGAAAUUAAACGACCACAUGAAUUUAUUUUUAUUAAUUUUCUGAUGUUAUAAAACUAUGCCUAGACUUUUUCGAUGUGUGUGUUUUGUUGAGACACUCGGCGCAUUUUUCAAUCUCAACGCCUUCGUGAACGUCACUCACCGUCAAAAUAGUAUACAGUGGAACUUGGUUAUAGCGUCAUUGAAGGACCCAGUAAAAAAAUGACGCUAUAUCAGAGUGACGUUAUACAAGAGACAAAGAAAAAUGAAAGUACAUAGUACUUCCUUUUAGUAUUACAAUUUGCCAUACUAAAAAAUAAAAAGCUAAUUACUAAAUUACGAGCCGAACACAAUUUCACGGUAGCGAAAAUUUCUUAAACGGGCUGUUUUGAAACUGAAAAUUUGACUGUUAAGAUGGCAUUGAUAAAUAAGAAAUUAUAUAACUGUUAAGGGCACAGAGGGGAUAAUUGGCCUUUAUCACAUUCUUAGAAGGAACAAUGUAGCAAAGCCGGAAACGCAUUGCACUUUAUUCUUCAUAAAAUAAAACAAGGACAACCUACUGUAAAAUUUUAUGACGCUAUAGACGAGGGUUACUUUAUUUUUAGCCGAUAAAACCGGGUUUUUAAUAAUGUUAUCGAAUAGUGUUUGGCCGGACCUAUUAAAAAUUGACGUUACAACCGAGAUGACGUAACUACCAAGGCCGUAAUAUCCAAGUUCCACUGUAUAAACGAAAUAAGACAUUUUUUAUAAAGUAGACUGGCAAAACUUUGGACCUAAUUAAAAAUAUUAAAGCACCAAACGGCAAUCGUUCGUGAACAACGAUUAAGCCGUUCUAAUUUCUAAGCGUAACAGUAUUUUAUAAUUUUUGUUUCAAAGAUUUCCUCUUUCAAAUAGAGUGCCUCUAAAUAUAACGCAAUUUUUUUGAUUGCUGUGCCUUUAUGAACAAUUAUUAUAUUAUUAUUUUUAAAAUGUACACCAAAAAAGACCCCGUUGUAUACAUACAAGGAUAAAAUUUAAUAUUAAGAGUAAAAAAUAUAUUUUAAGAUUUGUCUACAUAUAUGUUUUUGAUAAUAAAGAUUUUGACUGAUUACUAUUUAGUUAAAACAAGUGCCACAAGUAUUAAAAGAGAGGGAUAAAUUGAGACCUUUGUAUGUAUGUAUAGCAUUAACAGGCCUUUUAGGCCCAUUGCUGGAAGGAAAUUGGACACCUUUAUCUCUCAGCUUUUAUUACAAGAGAUAACUAUAGCUACACAAAAUUGUCGGAUAAAAUUGAUUCAGCAAAACAUCAUACAAAUAUCCCCAUCACUGUAUCUACUGGAUAUAGAUAGAUUCGUUUUGUAUUAAACUCUAAAAUCUUUUGAUUUCUUCACUGGGGAUUCUGUACAGUACAUAUUAGCAAAUAAUUAUAUUUCUGAUGUAGCACAAGAAAUGAAAACGUUACCUUCUGCAUGAAAUUAAAUUAUGGGUAUCAUGAUUGGCUUUAAAUAUUUCACAUUGAAUGAUGGUAAAUAAGUAAAAAAACUGUUAUUAUAUCCAUUCUCUGUGUGUUGAGGCCCAAUCAAUGCAUUUUUUCUUGUUUUUUGUUCAGGGAAGAUUUCUUCUGGGGUUGUAGCCCACAGCUAUUUUCUGAUAGCGCGAUCCGAUAUUUGUAAGCCAGUGUAUUUGACAAUAGCAUUAAUUUAUUUUGUGAAUCUGCGACAAUCUUCUAAAGACAGGUGGCAUAUUCUGCGUACUUUGUUUUGACUAACUUUUGGUUUUCUGCAUGUUCUUUUAUGAAUAC